rnacentral:misc_RNA from 1 species
GGUAUAUCCCGCCUCAUGCAGAUACUGCGGUAUCUGGGUGGUCUUCCCGGAGCCCGUCUCUCCAACAAUAACAAGAACCUGAUGAUCAUUAACAGCUUGGAGCAAAUCAUCCCUGUAGGGAUACAUUGGUAGGGUCUUCCUAUCCUCCUGGAGUUUUUCAAAUGCUGAAUUAGCCAUAGUUUUCUCUAUUGAAUCAGUGGAAGGCUCUUGGUCAACAUUAACACCAUCCAUUACGGCUGCCUUUAUGAACUCAAUUUGGUCUUCAAACACAAAUUGGUAGUCAUCAGAUCUUGACUUUCUAUCUUUUGACCCAAAUUUAAGGUUCGCCUUCCCAAUCUGAUGUUCCUCCCAUGCCUCUUGUUCAGCAAAAGGAUUCAUCUUUUCAGCAGCAUCUGGAUCCCUGUAUCGCUGCGAAGCCACCGAAAACCUCUUUUCCUGAUUUACACCACCUUCAAGAUCAUAAGCAUCAGGUAUCCUAUACUCGUCCAUGUCACCGGUAUCUUCUGAUCGUUUCUUAACAAGUUCAUAUAUUUCCUUCUUAUAUCCAUCCAUAUAUAAGCUCCUAGAAGAGAAUGACAAACACGAGGCACUUUAGGAUUCACUUUAGGAUUCAAU